GCGAGCGGCGGAUGGGUGAGUAACACGUGGGGAAACCUGCCCCUAAGUCUGGGAUACCAUUUGGAAACAGGUGCUAAUACCGGAUAAUAAAGCAGAUCGCAUGAUCAGCUUUUGAAAGGCGGCGUAAGCUGUCGCUAAGGGAUGGCCCCGCGGUGCAUUAGCUAGUUGGUAAGGUAACGGCUUACCAAGGCGACGAUGCAUAGCCGAGUUGAGAGACUGAUCGGCCACAUUGGGACUGAGACACGGCCCAAACUCCUACGGGAGGCAGCAGUAGGGAAUCUUCCACAAUGGACGCAAGUCUGAUGGAGCAACGCCGCGUGAGUGAAGAAGGUUUUCGGAUCGUAAAGCUCUGUUGUUGGUGAAGAAGGAUAGAGGUAGUAACUGGCCUUUAUUUGACGGUAAUCAACCAGAAAGUCACGGCUAACUACGUGCCAGCAGCCGCGGUAAUACGUAGGUGGCAAGCGUUGUCCGGAUUUAUUGGGCGUAAAGCGAGCGCAGGCGGAAAAUAAGUCUAAUGUGAAAGCCCUCGGCUUAACCCGAGGAACUGCAUCGGAAACUGUUUUUUCUUGAGUGCAGAAGAGGAGAA
rnacentral:rRNA from 1 species